AAGCAAGCGGAAGGAGGUGAUCCAGUGUCGAGAGUCAUGCUGGAGAGGGGUUUUGUUGAUAUCGGGGCGGCUCGCAAUUAGGCAGGCCAAUGGCCUUUGCCCCCUGACGGACUUAUGGGUUCAUGAAACCUGACCUCCAUGAUAGCUCGGAGGGCCGUUCCAAAUAGGAGCGGCCCU
rnacentral:misc_RNA from 1 species